rnacentral:lncRNA from 1 species
GCUUCUGAGGUCUGAGACCUCCGACCUUGUAGCUUUCUUUUACUGCAAUUUUUCCCUUUCUUUUUGUCUUCAAGAAUCAUUCAAUCAAUAAAGUUGAAUUUCUCACCGUGGAUGGCUUCCCUUCUCCCCCUUUUUAUUUUUCUUUCUGCAAUGAGAUGCACCUUGAUGCUUCUGUCUCUUGAUGGCAGUGUCCUGCCAAGGCACUUCUCCUGCUCCAGGAGAUCCCACUGAAGUCCACGAUCCAGCGGCUGAAGAAGGAGGUUCUUCAUGCGAUGAAAAGGUCGAAAAAGAUGGUAGGCA